rnacentral:rRNA from 1 species
CAGAGGUCUCAAGCGUUGUUCGGAUUCAUUGGGCGUAAAGGGUGCGUAGGUGGCAUGGUAAGUUGAAGGUGAAAUCUCGGAGCUCAACUCCGAAACUGCCUUCAACACUGCUGUGCUUGAGGACUGUAGAGGAGAAUGGAAUUCACGGUGUAGCAGUGAAAUGCGUAGAUAUCGUGAGGAAGACCAGUGGCGAAGGCGAUUCUCUGGGCAGUUCCUGACACUGAGGCACGAAGGCUAGGGGAGCAAACGGGAUUAGAUACCCCGGUAGUCCUAGCAGUAAACGGUGCACGUUUGGUGUGGGAGGAUUCGACCCCUUCCGUGCCGGAGCUAACGCGUUAAACGUGCCGCCUGGGAAGUACGGUCGCAAGAUUA